CAGAAAAAUAACAAUGGCAGGUUC
rnacentral:piRNA from 1 species